UACGUAGGGUGCGAGCGUUGUCCGGAAUUACUGGGCGUAAAGAGCUCGUAGGUGGUUUGUCGCGUUGUUCGUGAAAACCGGGGGCUUAACCCUCGGCGUGCGGGCGAUACGGGCAGACUAGAGUGCGGUAGGGGAGACUGGAAUUCCUGGUGUAGCGGUGAAAUGCGCAGAUAUCAGGAGGAACACCGGUGGCGAAGGCGGGUCUCUGGGCCGUAACUGACGCUGAGGAGCGAAAGCGUGGGGAGCGAACAGG
rnacentral:rRNA from 1 species